CUAAAAAAGAAAAAAAAUGCCAGAAGUGGGUGGAAAAUUGUAGGAGAGCAGACUUAGAAGAUAAAACACCUGAUCAACUAAA